UACUACAAUUAACCUACUACAAUUAACUUACUACAAUUAAACUAUUACAAUGAAGUUAGCCCGAUUUAUAUGCCGAUAUAGUACAACAACUAUUUUGUCCAAUAAAGAACAGAUAAAAAACAAUUCGUUCUUAAUUAAAUUAUAUUUAUAUAAUGUGUCUAAUAUAAAUAUCGACACAUAUAUAGAGUUAAUAAGUUUACUCAAAAAGAACAACGAACAGGUUACAAAAUAUAAUAUUACGAGCGGGAAUGAAAAUAUGAAUGCUAACAAUAAGACCGUUAUACUAAAUGAAAAACAUUUUGAACAAGUUAAUUUAAUUUUAUAUAAAUAUUUUCAAUUUUUAAAUAUACAUAAUGAAAAAAACAAAAUAUUAAAAUUAUUAACAUUAUUAUAUUUGUAUAAUUUACGUAUGUAUAAUGAUAAAAAAAUAUUUUUUUAUAAUAAUGCUUUUACCUUUAUUAAUAAUUUUUUUUUUCAAAAAUAUGAUUCUCUUUUAUUAAAUAAUUAUUACAAUAUUACAAAAGACAAAAACAUACCAUUCGGUUUAUUACUUCAAAGAAACAGUUUUUUAUAUAUGGAUAUAUUUUUAUAUGCAUUAGAUUUUUAUUUAUUUUUUAUAUCACAAAAUUAUAAAAUUUUAAAUAUAAAACAAUUAAAUAAGUUAUGUACAAUCUAUUCAAAUAUUAGUAUAUCUGCAGAUAGUUCUUAUGAACAGUCAUAUUUAAUAGAUGAAGAAAAAAAUCAGUAUAGCCAAAACUUUUUAUCAAAUCUUGACACCACCUUGAAUAAUUUUGGUGUGAAUAACACAACUACAAUUCAGCUAACCGACAAGAGGGACAUAACAUGGUUCAAUCAUUCCACGUCUAUCAAUCAUUCCACGUCUAUCAAUCAUUCCACUUCUGUCAAAGAUAAUGAAAGUGAUCGAACUGAUAACAGUCACAGUCACAGUGAUAGAAAAACCCUAUUAAACAACGAUAUAAACAAUAAAAUUUGUCUAUUAUAUAUUUAUAUAUCAGAAUCUAUAAUUUUGCAAACCUAUUCACACAUAAUAAAAAAAACAAAAAUAAAAUGCAAAAAAAAUAAAAGUGUUAAUGAAUUAUUAUCAACUAAUAUACAAAUAUGUAAAAAAAAUUUGUCUUGCCUUUUAAAAAAAAAGCCUAAUAAACAAUACAUAACAUUUACUAUUUUAAAAAAAAAAUAUGACAAUUCGAAAUUAUUAAAUAUUCAUAUAUUAAAAAAUUAUUUAAAUAGUAUUAAAUAUUUAAAUAUAAUAAAUAUAAAAAAACAUGUACAUAUAAUAACUUAUUUUUAUUUCACUAGUUUUUUAUUUAAUAAAUCUAUUUAUUAUAGUGCAUUAAUUUUUUAUAUACUACAAAAAUAUAAUUUACAAUAUACUUAUAUUUUUAAUAUUUUAUUAAUAAAAUUUGGUUUAUUUUUUCAAAAUUUUAAAGUGAUGAAUGAUUAUCAUGAGGGAGUAAUAGCUAAUGCGAUAAACAAAUAUAUUGAUUCGGUUUUGGUUUUUAAAAUAAAGCAGUGUGGUGGUGGUAGUGGUAGUAGUAGUAGUAGUAGUAUUAGUAGUAGUAGUAGUAGUAUUAGUAGUAGUAUUAGUAGUAGUAGUAGUAGUAGUAGUAG
ensembl:lncRNA